UGGCUGUUUGCAAUGAAGGGGCAUAUGAACAUUAAUGGGUUCUCCACUUAUUCAUAGGAAGAAAAGCCAUACUGGAAAUUAUUCUAACUGAACCCAUGUAUGAGGUCGACUGUACAUGUCAAAGCCGCAGCCUACAGAUAUAAGAGUGGCAUGUUUGUCAACUGCGCUGCAGUCUUUUCCUUCCAAUGGUAAUUAGUUAAGACAUUUAUUAAUUAAACAAUCAAAUAAAAGGAAUUUAAUGUACUGUAGGCACCCAUCUUCAAUCACAUCAGCACCAGCAGACGACCACCUCCGUGUCCACAUUCAAACAUUCGGUGACUGAACGGCCAAACUCAAAAUGGUUUUCUCUAAGGUUUGUAAGCUUCCACCAGUUGAUGAGAGUCGAGUGCUGAGAACUGAGGCAGACAACUCAACUGGGUCUCCAGAAAUAAUGAGAGACGGUCCAUAUGGAGCUCUAGCACUGGACUGCAAGAAGUAUGAUGUGGUACUGCUGGUGGGACUUGGGAUUGGGGCGACACCCAUGAUCAGCAUCGUAAAAUUUCAGUCAAUUGGCUACUGCUACUGCUAUUGAGACGACAGUUGGAACUUGGUGCAGCUGUACAUGCUAAGUUUUGCAAUUACAUCAUCUUUACUUGUGUUGAAAGUGCUGGCAGAGUUUAUUGGGCGCGUGCUGAUCUAAUAGCAGAGUUUAUUGGGCGUUUCCCUAUUUUAGUUAGAGGAUCUACUUGUGCAUAGAGAAGUAUCAGAGACAAUGAAGCAGGAGAUACGAGCAGAGUAUGAAACAACCGGUGGAACUCCAGAUAAGUCUCUAAAGUCUGAUUUUUCUCUAAACAUUAUGAUUGGAAUUGCUGUUCUGGCAAUUCUAAGAUAGUUUCUUGGAAAUUAAGGUUUAGUUUGUGAUGAUUAUUUUAGGGUUGUAUUUGUUUUUGAUGUGUAUGGUAAUGUUGUGAGUUCAUUAUAUCUUUAGCUGCUUGUCAAUGAGCAAAAUUACAUCUGUUGAUUUAUGUGAAUUACGUUAACAAUGUGGGUGUGUUUGUGUUUAUUUGCUUUAGUUUUUUCCAUGUGUGUGUUUUUGUGUUUAUGUGCUUUGGUGUUUUUAAAUGUGCGUGUUUGUGUUUAUGUGCUUUGGUGCUUUUAUGUGUUCUGUGCUUUGGUGUUCUUCUAUGUGGGUGUUUUUUUUCUGUGUGAGUAUUUUAGUGUUUCUACAUGUGGAUGCAUUUCUGUUUCUGUGCUUAAAUGUUUUUCUAUGUGUUUGUGUUUGUGUCUGUGUUUAUUUGCUUUGGUGUUUUUCUAUGUGGGUGUUUUUGUGUGUUCUGUGCUUUGAUAUUGUUCUAUGUGGGUGUUUUUUUUCUUCUAUGUGGGUGUUUUAAUGUUUCUCUAUGUCUGUGUUUGUGUUUCUAUGCUUUGUGAUUCUCCAUGUGGGUGCAUUUGUGUUUCUGUGCUUAGGUGCUUUCUAUGUGGGUGUCUUUGUGUUUCUUUGUUUCUCUAUGUAGUUUUGUUUGUUCCUUUUAAAGUUCUAACUGUGGGAAUACUUUGAAUUUGAAGUGUAAGUGUUGCCUUGUUUUUGUCUCGCCAUUUUUUUUAUUACAAUCGACUGCGUCGAAUUGUUUAUCCAUUAGGUCUCUUCACGAAGAACUUCCAUCACUCUCUUUUGUUAUGAAGAGUUUCUUCAAUGAAGUAUGUUUUCCUUCUCGCUUUUCUCCUUGUAUAGUCUUUAUUUGUUUGUUGUUCUGGCGACAUGGUGGUGGUUCAUGUCGAGCUUUCAUUUGAUAUCCUGAAAAAGUUUAGUGGCGCAUUUUGUUGAUAUUACGUUUGGAAUUUUUAUGAACUAUAAACUGCCAAGGGCGUGAACUUACCAAUUGUUUUUAAUGCAUCUUUUAUGAUAAGCUGUUAUGGAAUUUUUACUUGCUCUUUUCUUUGCAUUUAUUCAUCA